GCCAGCAGCCGCGGUUACACCAAAAAGUCAAAUCAUACAUAUAGGUUAAAAGGUAGUUAAAUUGAAAAUAGAGCUUAAGAUCUUAUUAUAUAUAGGUAAAAUUUGAAUAUAAUUUAAUAUUUCUUUAUAAGCUAAAUUAUUGAGGCUACGAAAUCUUUGGAUUAAACUGGGAUUGGAUACCCCACUAUUCUUAGACAUAAACCUGAUAAAAUUUACCAGAGUACUAUGAACAAAGUUUAAAACUCAAAGAACUUGGCGGUGCUUUAUACUAUUUAGGGGAACCUGUCUCAUAAUCGACAAUCCACGAAACACCUCACCUUUUUUUGUGCUCAGUUUGUAUACCGUUGUCGCCAGGUAACUCUUUAAGAUAAAGAAGUUAGCUACAUAAAUGUUUAAUUAAGACGUCAAAUCAAGGUGCAAUUAAUAAAAAGGAGAAGAUGGGUUACAAUUAUAUAGUUAUAAUUAUGAAUUGGUUAGUGAAAUAA
rnacentral:rRNA from 1 species